GCGAACGCUGGCGGCAGGCCUAACACAUGCAAGUCGAACGAACUCUUCGGAGUUAGUGGCGGACGGGUGAGUGACACGUGGGAACGUGCCUUUUGGUUCGGAAUAACUCAGGGAAACUUGUGCUAAUACCGAAUGUGCCCUUCGGGGGAAAGAUUUAUCGCCAUUAGAGCGGCCCGCGUCUGAUUAGCUAGUUGGUGAGGUAACGGCUCACCAAGGCGACGAUCAGUAGCUGGUCUGAGAGGAUGACCAGCCACACUGGGACUGAGACACGGCCCAGACUCCUACGGGAAGCGGUAGUGGGGAAUCUUGCGCAAUGGGCGAAAGCCUGACGCAGCCAUGCCGCGUGAAUGAUGAAGGUCUUAGGAUUGUAAAAUUCUUUCACCGGGGACGAUAAUGACGGUACCCGGAGAAGAAGCCCCGGCUAACUUCGUG
rnacentral:rRNA from 1 species